rnacentral:lncRNA from 12 species
CAUUUUAUAUUUUUUUCUAGAUUUUAUGCAGAUGCAUAUUUUUAAUUGCUUUUGUUGUUGCUGUUUUUGCUGUCCUCUCUCGUGGAUAUCAUUCUGCAAGUCUUUGAGAUCUAUCCUUUUUCAAGGUAUAUAGCAGUCAACUCAUAUCUCCAAACUCCGAACUGCUGUUGAGGAAAAUCCAAUGGCCCAGAUCUGGUUCAAUCAAUUAUGUCAAACAGGAGUGCAAAGGCUGAGGGGGUGUUUUCUAGAAAGGGGAGUCGUCUACAGGCUGGAGAGAGAUCACAAAAGGGCUCUGCUCCACAUCUCCUUUGUAAGACUGCAAUGAUUACCGCACUCUCCUGGACAUGGUCACUUAACCAUUCUGCACCGAGAGAUGUUAUAAGAAUGAAAUGA